rnacentral:rRNA from 1 species
GACGAACGCUGGCGGCGUGCUUAACACAUGCAAGUCGAACGGAAAGGCCCUGCUUUUGUGGGGUGCUCGAGUGGCGAACGGGUGAGUAACACGUGAGUAACCUGCCCUUGACUUUGGGAUAACUUCAGGAAACUGGGGCUAAUACCGGAUAGGAGCUCCUGCUGCAUGGUGGGGGUUGGAAAGUUUCGGCGGUUGGGGAUGGACUCGCGGCUUAUCAGCUUGUUGGUGGGGUAGUGGCUUACCAAGGCUUUGACGGGUAGCCGGCCGGAGAGGGUGACCGGCACAAUGGGAAUGGGGUGACGCCCCGGCUCCUUCGGGGGGGCACAGGGGGGGAUUAUGCCACAUGGGCGGGAGGCUUAUGGAAGAACGCCGCGGUGCGGAUGACGGCCUUCGGGUUGUAAACCGCUUUCGCCUGUGACGAAGCGUGAGUGACGGUAAUGGGUAAAGAAGCACCGGCUAACUACGUG